UACUAAUUAAUCUAGGGUCGAAAUUAGAGAGAGGAAUGUGAUAUAUUAAUUACUACACAAGGCUUUACCUUCCAGACUUGUCUGAAGAAUCCGAUCCCAUGUAUACCAAACCCCAAGACAAGCAAAGUUGUGUCAAAUUAGGUUGGAGGUCAGCUUUGGUUCUUUCAAACACUCUCAGCAAGUGCAAACAUAGUUGACAGGUUGAUCCACUUUAGUAUCUCUAGUACUUCUGCAGUCAGUAAAUCUAAGACUGGUCUAAAGAGUGGUUAGAUGACAAGUAAUAAAUCGAAAUAUAUCAUCACCCCCUUCUUGACUCAAUAAAAACAAAUUUUGAAAAUAUUUUAAAUAAGACUCAUAAAGGUAGAUAAACGUUAGUAACCCCCCCCCCCCCCCCCCAGACUUAAAUUACACUGUCCCCAGUGUAACACAGUUAGUGGUAAGGUGAAAAUCAUAAAGCAGAAGUACAAAAUUUAACAAGUAAGAACGAUAACCUGCUCAGUAUCAAUUGAUACUAUGAAGUGACAAUCGAUCGUUGUUGAUGAAGCGUUGUCGAUCGAUAUCGAAAUGGUCUCAUCGGUCGAUGAUCUGAGCAAUCGUCUACAUGGAUCUGUUUUUUUUUUUUUUUUUUUCAUAACUAAAACACAAUAUCAGUAGAACCUCCCCCAGACUUAGAUAACGCUGUGACCAGUGUAUAUCCAGUCUGAGUUAUGGUGUAAAUAAAUCAUAAGUACUCAAUUUAACAAGUUAGAAUUAUAUACCUAACCGGAGUGGAUCGAUGUCGAUCGAUGUAAACGUGUUGUCAUCGGUCGUGGAAGAUGUAGCAGUGUCGAUCGAUAUCGACUUGUUCUCGUCGGUCGAUAUCAUGGCAAUCAUUUACUUGGGUCCCUAUUCUAGAUAUCUAACUAACUUUGAUGUGAAUAUUGACCAACGUAGUUAAGUGGCGAUCGAUACCCUUGAUACUCUGUCGAUCGAUGUUAGCUAGCCAUCGUCGAUUUCUAUGGAAACUCGUCUUCUUUGGAUCUUUUCCUUGUACCUAACAUAAAUAAAACACUAAAAGUCUAAAUGUUAGUAAUAUAUUACUAAUAAAACCAAUUCACUAAUAAAUUUUUUUUUUCUCGAUGAACAGUAACUCCCGAUUUUCUGCUACAAUGUCGGUCGAUAUUGCUGCUAAAGUGUGUUUGCUACAGUACCGUCGUUACUGUUCGCACACUUUUUUUUGGUUUUUUUUUUUACCUGAAAUCAUUAGAAAACAAGAAAAAUCAGUAAUAAAUGAAAAUUAAACCAUAUUUAAAACAAACCUAACAGUGGGUUGCCUUCCACUCAGCGCUUAUUUUUAGUAAUUAGCUUGACUUCUAGAGAUCUGAUUAAAUCCGCAUAAGAAUGAGAACUUGCUUCAACCCAAGUCUCAAUGUCUACUCUUUGAAGCUUUAUCAUUCUUGUGUGAAAGCCUCCUCCAUAGACUUUUAUCCUUUGUCUAUCAUCUCAACAAUAAGGAGUGCUUUAAGCUUUGCAUAUGGAUGUGAGAAGCAUCUGCUGCGCACUCUUGAUUUUCUGAUACUAUUUGAGAAGUAAGGAGUCAAUGGUAAUUGAGAACCUCCUUUGGUUCGUUUCCGCUUCUUCCAAUUUCUCCCCUUCUUUCCCAUAGACUUGUCUGAAUGAGUGGUGGUAUCUCCAUAAAAAAUAUUCCCACACAAUUCAUACUCAUUAUGCUCUGAUUCGCGUCUGGUGUCGAUCGAUGAUGAAGUGUUAGUGUCGAUCAAUUCUGAUUUGCUGAUGUCGUUCGAUGGUGCUUCUGCUGGCCCUUCAUCUACUUCAUAUCUAAAUCGCAGCCCUCUCUGAGAAGCUUCUACAUGAUGUUUAUCAUUCAAUACCUCAAUGUAAGAACUCAGAUCCACACCUUUAUCUGGUGGGAUAGGAGAUUCAACUUCAAACACUGCACAUGGAACCAUAAUCUUCACAGGAUCAUGUAUCCUCUUCACUCUUUUGCAAAUCUGAUAUACCUUGGAUUUGACCCAUUUUUAUCCAUGGUAUAUAAGUAUUUUACUAUAUAUAUAUCUAUGUUUCUACUCUUCUAGGUAUGUUUUCAGGUUCAGGUGCAUUUCGGAGUAAAGCUAUGACUUUGGAGCAUUUUGGAGCUUAAAAGACAUUUCACCCGAGCUGACCACUUAGA